rnacentral:rRNA from 1 species
GACCUCAAAUCAGGUAGGACUACCCGCUGAACUUAAGCAUAUCAAUAAGCGGAGGAAAAGAAACUAACGAGGAUUCCCUUAGUAACUGCGAGUGAAGCGGGAAAAGCUCAAAUUUAAAAUCUGGCAGCGUUUGGUUGUCCGAGUUGUAACCUAGAGAAGUGCAGCCUGUGCUGGACCAUGUAUAAGUCUCCUGGAACGGAGUGUCACAGAGGGUGAGAAUCCCGUGUUUGACAUGGACUGCCAGUGCAUUGUGGCGUGCUCUCAAAGAGUCGAGUUGUUUGGGAAUGCAGCUCUAAACGGGUGGUAAAUUCCAUCUAAAGCUAAAUAUUGGCGAGAGACCGAUAGCGAACAAGUACCGUGAGGGAAAGAUGAAAAGAACUUUGGAAAGAGAGUUAAACAGUACGUGAAAUUGUUGAAAGGGAAACAUUUAAAGUCAGUUGUGUUAGCUGGGGAUCAACCCUGGGGUUAUUGCCUUUGGGUGUAUUUCCUGGUUGACAGGUCAACAUCAGUUCUGACCAGUAGAAAAAGGGCAAGGAAAUGUGGCACCUUCGGGUGUGUUAUAGUCCUUGGUUGUAUCUGGUGGUUGGGACUGAGGGAUGCAGCACACCGUAAGGGCCGUGGCCAGGUCAUUCAAUGGGCUGGCGACGUUUGUGCU